rnacentral:piRNA from 1 species
UUUUUCGUUUUUUUUGCAACA